UCCUACGGGGGGCUGCAGUAGGGAAUAUUAGUAAUGGGCGAAAGCCUGAACUAGCAACGCCGCGUGUGCGAAGAAGGCCUUCGGGUUGUAAAGCACUUUUUGAGAGGAUGAGGAAGGACGGUACUCUCAGAAUAAGUCUCGGCUAACUACGUGCCAGCAGCCGCGGUAACACGUAGGAGGCAAACGUUAUCCGGAUUUACUGGGCGUAAAGCGCGUGUAGGUGGUUUGGUAAGUAGGGCGUGAAAGCUCCUGGCUCAACUGGGAGAGGACGUUCUAAACUACCAAGAUUGAGGAUGGUAGAGGGAGGGGGAAUUCCGGGUGUAGCGGUGGAAUGCGCAGAUAUCCGGAGGAACACCAGUGGCGAAGGCGGCCUCCUGGACCAUUCCUGACACUCAGACGCGAAAGCUAGGGUAGCAAACGGGAUUAGAUACCCUAGUAGUCA
rnacentral:rRNA from 1 species